AAUGAAAUGUAGGAAGCCAAUUGAUAUUAUAGCCCAGACUAUGCUCAUGUACCCAAAUGGUUCUUUUUUUCCAGGGUAGUAUGUUACGAUGUGGGAGAUUAUCUGGAAACCUGGUAAGAUGAGGAUAUAGACUUCGGGGUGACCAAAAAAUCAGAAUAGAUGUUGAUAUAGGAUAGGGUCGCCUCCUCCAGGUGGGUCA